GGGCAUGGGCGGCAUGCUAUACAUGCAAGUCGAGCGGACAGAUGGGAGCUUGCUCCCUGAUGUUAGCGGCGGACGGGUGAGUAACACGUGGGUAACCUGCCUGUAAGACUGGGAUAACUCCGGGAAACCGGGGCUAAUACCGGAUGGUUGUUUGAACCGCAUGGUUCAAACAUAAAAGGUGGCUUCGGCUACCACUUACAGAUGGACCCGCGGCGCAUUAGCUAGUUGGUGAGGUAACGGCUCACCAAGGCAACGAUGCGUAGCCGACCUGAGAGGGUGAUCGGCCACACUGGGACUGAGACACGGCCCAGACUCCUACGGGAGGCAGCAGUAGGGAAUCUUCCGCAAUGGACGAAAGUCUGACGGAGCAACGCCGCGUGAGUGAUGAAGGUUUUCGGAUCGUAAAGCUCUGUUGUUAGGGAAGAACAAGUACCGUUCGAAUAGGGCGGUACCUUGACGGUACCUAACCAGAAAGCCACGGCUAACUACGUGCCAGCAGCCGCGGUAAUACGUAGGUGGCAAGCGUUGUCCGGAAUUAUUGGGCGUAAAGGGCUCGCAGGCGGUUUCUUAAGUCUGAUGUGAAAGCCCCCGGCUCAACCGGGGAGGGUCAUUGGAAACUGGGGAACUUGAGUGCAGAAGAGGAGAGUGGAAUUCCACGUGUAGCGGUGAAAUGCGUAGAGAUGUGGAGGAACACCAGUGGCGAAGGCGACUCUCUGGUCUGUAACUGACGCUGAGGAGCGAAAGCGUGGGGGAGCGAACAGGAUUAGAUACCCUGGUAGUCCACGCCGUAAACGAUGAGUGCUAAGUGUUAGGGGGUUUCCGCCCCUUUGUGCUGCAGCUAACGCAUUAAGCACUCCGCCUGGGAGUACGGUCGCAAGACUGAAACUCAAAGGAAUUGACGGGGGCCCGCACAAGCGGUGCAGCAUGUGGUUUAAUUCGAAGCAACGCGA
rnacentral:rRNA from 1 species